ensembl:lncRNA TEX14BP testis expressed 14B, pseudogene
ACCGCUGCCUGGAUGGCAGCACCCCCGUGCCUGCAGGCGCCUUCUUUAGUGAUGGUGCCCCUGCUGCAGGCAGGGGGUGACUUGCAACUGCAUGACCAGCGGGGUCGCACACCACAAGACUGGGCUGAGCAGGGUGGGGCCAAGCAGAACUGGGAGUUGCUGGAGUUGUUGCAGCUCUGCCGGGCCCACAUAUCAGCGUUCGUGCAUGACGGUGAGUUGCCACCCAUGGCAUCUCUGGACCAGUUGCAGGCCAGAUUUGGGAACAGCCCGCCUGGCUCCCUGUCCUCCCUGAGGCUGAUGCAGGCAGACAGGAUGCUGAGGCUAGCACAGAUCAGGAGAGCCUCCCAAGUCCCGGCCUUGGGGUUUGGUCAGCCUGUGGCCACCGGGGCUGGUAACGGGCAUCCCCCUUGUGGACCCCAAGGAGCUGCUGGCAGCCCAGGGAGAGCCUGACUGCACCUAUGAGAGCAGCUCCCCACCCUCAUGGCCAACCUCCUGUGGAUGGGUCACAAAAUGACUGUGCAGCAGCCGAAGGCCCCUGGAACCCAGACAGAUGUGCUACUGGCUGACCUUCAGCACUGCAGCAAGCUGCACCACCCUGGCCUGUUGCUGCUGAUGGCACUGAGUCCCUCUGCAGAUCUGUCGGGGCUGUGCCUUCUCUUUGAGCCUGUGUGGCUGGGCUCCCUGCAGGGGGUGCUGCACCCACCGAGACCAAGUGAGGAGGCACCUGGGACUGUGCUGGGCCUGCCGCCCCGGCCCCCUGCUGCAGCAGGUGCUAAAGGCCCUGCUGUUCCUGCAGGCCCACUGGCGAGCUCACAGUGGCUUCAGCUCUCACACCGUGUAGCUGGUGCAGCCAGGCCUGGCUAAAGUGGGCCACCUGGAGCACAGGCGCCUCCUACGCCAGCGCUGGCUGCGGCCCAGGCAGCAGAAGGGCUACCCCUGGGGAGGCCCAGGCCCAGGGCUUCCCCCGCCCCCUGAACUACACCCAUGGCUGCCACUUCAGCUGAUCUGCGGUGACAUGCCCACCACCACCUCAGACCUCUACAGCUUCUGCAUCCUGAUCCAGGAGGUCUUCACUGGAGAGCUGCCCUGGGCUGGGAGAGGGGGACCUGAGGUGAAGGCCAAGCUGGAGGCAGGGGAGAGUCCGGCCCUGGAGCCCCGGGUGCCAGCACCCUACCAGGCCCUGAUUCGAGCUGGGCUAGGCCUAGCACCUGCUGACCGCUGGGGCAGCCUGCAGAGUACCCGAUACCUACUGCGGGAGGCCCCGGCCCAGGUACAGGGCAGCCAAGACCACACCCAGGCCUGUGGCCCCUGUGAUGUCCCCAGGCCCCAUCCCAUGCCAGGUAGGAGCCAGGACGGGGCUGUGGGGGACCAAGGGAGCUGUGGGACACCUGGGCAACCCAUGCCAGCUCUCUGCCAUCCUUCUCUGCAGGCCUGAGACUCCUGAGGUCAGAGACCACAGCAGGAUCCCAAGGGGUGCAGCCUGGAACUUGGGCAGCAGCUUGACUCUAGGCAGCAGCUCUGGGCCCAGCCCAGGACCCAGCCCUGGGUCUGGCCACAGCCCCACAGCCAGGGUCAGCCUGCACUGCUGCCUGGAGCCCAGCUCAACAGUACAGAUACCCCCAGAGCCCUGCACAACUGUCCCACUGCUAACCUGUGACCCCCUCCGCCCGCCCUCCAGGAGUCACCAACCCGAAGUUCCCUGGCUGCCUCUCCUUUGACCAGGGAACUUUAGGGUCGCCCAACUGUCCCCUCACUCACCUAUGACCCUUAACCAACCCUGCUUCCCCCAGGGCCCUUCCCUGCACUCCAACUCCAGCCUCUAGGACUCAGCCUCCCUGCUGGGGACCCAGAGCUCUGCGGAACAGUUUGAGGAAGCUCUCAGCCAAGAUUCCAGCCCUGCAGGGGCUGCUGCGGCGCACACACAGGGUUAUUCUGCUGGAGCCCCAGCCCUGUGAGCCCAUCCCCAGCCUGCUGACCCACAGGGAGGCUUCCCACACACUGGGAGGCUGCUGGCAGGGAAGGCCACGAGGGCAGGCUAAGCAGAGGACCCCGAGCUCAGCCUGUGCCCCAUCUGCCCUCCCAGGCCCGCUGGAGCACCAUGGCUACCAGGUGGCAGCUCCAGCCUUCUCUCCUGCAGGCACCCGGUACUGAGCUGACUAGAGGAGGUCUCUUCUCCAGCCUGCAGAAGUGAGACCCGAGGCCUUGGAUGGGAGGACCCCAGGUAACCCUAGGUCUUUAUCCCUGAGGUAACCCUAGGUCUACCUGUGCCUCACUGCUCCCCAGGAUGGACCUGCUGGAGGAGAUCAUAGCAGAGCUACAAAAAGGAUGUCAGCUUGGAGAAAAGCCCAGCCUGAGCCCCACUCCUGACCUAGACUCCCAGGGUGCCCAUGGUUCCCCUCUCUGCAGAUACCACCUCUCAGAGGCUCCCAGGAGUAACUCCUGCCUUGGUGCCUCCCCAAAAGGAAAUAGAAUGAUAAAGUGCCC